UACGAAGGGUGCAAGCGUUACUCGGAAUUACUGGGCGUAAAGCGUGCGUAGGUGGUGAGUUAAGUCUGAUGUGAAAUCCCCGGGCUCAACCUGGGAAUGGCAUUGGAUACUGGCUCGCUAGAGUGCGGUAGAGGGUGGUGGAAUUCCCGGUGUAGCAGUGAAAUGCGUAGAUAUCGGAAGGAACACCAGUGGCGAAAGCGGCUUCCUGGUCCAGCACCGACGUUCAGGCACGAAAGCGUGGGUAGCAAACAGG
rnacentral:rRNA from 1 species